CGAACUUUUAUCACCUCCUCCACACCUUUGAUUGUUUCUCUUUCUGGUGUGUUAGAAAACUGUGAGACCUCAGCUUUCAGAUGCAGAAGGGGUCACGUCUCUCCCUGCUCCUUUUCUCCUGUUGGGAAGAACGGGAGAACCUUGUGUGGGGAGCCAUGUCUGGGCCUUUGGGAUGUGGCUGUAAAAGACCCAGCCCAUUAUCUUGGAACUUCUUGUCGCUAUGGCCCAUUUAGCCCCAGAGUCUGUGCUCAAGCACAGCAGCCAGGACACAGUCCCUGCUUCUCAGGAGCCUUCGUUAGCUACGUUCUUACCUUGUAGACAUCAGUGUUGUGGGCGAAGCAGACCUUUUCCUCCAUUAACUUAGCCUCAUCAGCACCAUUUUUCUCCCUUUAAAUACAAAUGCGAUUUCAGUGCCCACUGCUUUGGGGAACCCAGGCUGCUUGGCCAUUGUCCCCGGUGCCACUGAGGACUGGGGUGCAGUUUUCCCUGCUCCAUGCCAGGUAGAACAUCAACAAAUGGUAGUGCAAGGGGACGGUUUUUAGAAACCUAGCAUUUUAGGUCCGGAUUAGAUACAAGAAUUGAUCCCUCCAAUUUCAAAAGAAGGAAGACACAGCUUAGCCAUAGUAAGUGGCAGAGGCAAGGCUGUGUGGAAGUAACCGAGCCUGCAGCCCCAGGGUUCACUUGACACAGAUCCAAGCUUUGCUGCGCGUGUAGAAGUCUCAAGAUAGAAACAAUUGCAGGCCUGUGGAAUAGUAUCUAGCAACAUGAACUAAUUUGUCUAAUUCAAAUAGCAUCUACCUACAAAAUCCAAGAAAACAAGACUUUUGAUCGGGGGGGGGGGGCAGUUAGCAUUUCCCUGUAAGGCAAGCGUUUAGAAUCACUUGAUAGACAAAUCCUUUAAAUAAAUUGGAACAACGGUCACAGAAAAGUUUGGAGCUCCUCCAUAAGAGGGGCCACCAUGGGACAACUCACUGUGGUAAAGUUGCUCAGGUGACCAGAUGGGUAUUUACAAAGGAAUGCCAUUUUUCUUGAUGGUUCUCGGUCCCUGGGAUGACUCUGUAAGGCCUGGCUCUGUGACUGGGUGUCCUACCCUGUGGGUUGUUCUAGAGGAGAAGAGCUAAUACUGGCGACCAAGACCCAGACUGAAUUUAGAGAACUCAUUUCUGGCUCGGCUACCUUGACCUCACUGUGUAGCAGGGCAAAUUACUUUGUCUCUGUCAAGUCCAGUUCCCAUCUAAAGACUUGUGCUACAGGGCCCUGACAGAGCAUUGAGUGAAACCAGGAGUUUCAAACACACAUGAUACCCUCACCCUUACUGUUGGCUGUGAGCUAGCGCAGGUCUGCAUUUUCUGAUCAAAUCGCUUGUUCAGCCUCCAUAUUAGCAGACAACAUGCUCUGGGAGACAAAGAAGUGCUGAAAAGGAAAAAAAAGUAAACAAGGCCAGUCUGCACGCAACUCCAAUAAGAUACAUGUAGCAUUGUUUGGGAUAAUGGAUUUGAUGGGAGUGAAAACAGCGGGGGAUUAAAUGGACCUAGAACGGAAACAAAGGUGCCUGGCUUCCCUGCAUAUACCAACAGCUGGAUUGCGAGGCCAUGGUGGGCUCGACCUCAUGCCCACUGACGGCAUCUGUCACCUCCAUUCUGCCAUCUCCCGAACGCCUGUCCUUUGCCCCAGCAAGGUCCUGCUGGCAACAUGGAGCUUGCAACACAUGAAGGUGUAAGAAAGGCUACAGGAACUGGAGGUAAACUGAGUCUGUCCUCAAACCUCAGCUGUCCCACGGACAGAGUGUGGCCUCCCUGUCUGAGUAUGUGUGAGCACACUGAUCUCUUUAUAACUGACUUGAAAGUCCAAAAUGACCAACGUCUUUCCCCGGGGCCCUUCCAUCGAAGAAAACGCAUUAUUUAUUUUGCUUCCGAAGUGCUAAUCCGAACGAUGUUGGCAAUCUUUAGGAUGGAAAUAGGAGAUAGAACUUCCCAAAUGUUAUUGUAGGGUCACAUUAGUACCAUUAAAUACAGUCCUCUCCUCCGCCCCCCACCGGACCAAAUUCCCAUAAUUACAGAGACACAGAGUGAAACUCUGCUUGUACACCGCACAUAUAAAGGCUUGAAACGGCCUCGCCUAAGAAUCAUAAAAACGUCCCCAAGGAUGUACAGUGGGAAGGGGCAGGAGUCACAGGGUGUCCCCUGAAUCUUAAUAAUUGUGUGUAUUCAGACAUACUUUAUAACUAGAAGUGCUGUUUACUGUAAAAUUGAGGGCGGGAAGGGCACGAUACUUUCUGGCGUCUAUAUUUUAUGCUGCCUUCUUUUCACAAUUGCAGACUGGAGGGAGGAAGUGAGAGCACCCCCCAGCCCCCACCCCCACCCCCACCCUUCCGGGUUAUCUAAUUGCUGUCAUAAUUCCUAUAUUUAUAUGCGCGUGUGUUUUAUCUACAAAAGGUAUCCACAGGAGAGCCGAUCCUUUCGCAAGUGUUGUGGAACUAUUAAAUGUAUAUUAGUGUGGUCAUUUUUAUUUAAUGGAAACAAAUAACAGUUAAUCUUAUUGGAAGGGUUAAGUGGGUUUACUUGGUGAAGGGCAAAUCCCUUUGGAUGCUUUAAAAAAAGAAAAAGAAUAGUUUCAGUUGCUGACAGAUGGCCUUUGUAUGAGAGUAGCUGAGGACAGAUACAGUUUCUUUUUACACACUUAUGAAACUUGUAGAUAUAGAUACUUGGUAAUAUGCGGUGGCCUAGGACAAAGAGCGAGCUUGGUAGACAGAGGGGAUUAGAUUUCAGAUAAGUGACAGAUGGCUGGCUUCAGAGAGUCAGAUAAAAUUAAAAAAGAAACCACUCUCCAUGUAAAAGUUCAGUCCCAUAAGACAAUGGGAGCACGCGGCAUCUAGCUCUUCCAAACUGUAUUCAGUUUCUGGGAUUUCAAUUGCUCUUUGAAACACACAUUUUACUUUUGCCUUUGCGGAAGACAGGGGGAUUAUUCCUUAUUGGUCUAGCUUAGCCAAGAGAAAGUGAUAAACAAAGCCUUAACAAUAUGCCUCGUGGCCGGCUUGCUAAACAGUUCUGUUUCCAGAGUACACAGGAUAUUUGCAUUUGAGUCCCCAACACACUGUACUCCUCCUCAGCGUGAAAAGAGUUUUAUAAGCCCAGAGGAAUGGGGGCCGAGAUCUCUUGUGGGUUCUAUGUAACAUCCAGUUCAUCUCCAGCAGAGAGGGCCAGAUGCACACCAUGUCCAGAGAAAGCUGCCCCACUUCAGGAUUUCUUUCCUGGUGUCUAGGACCAACCCUUAGCAGCAAUAGAGGCUCCCCAGCCUUCUCAUCAAGAGCUUCCACAGAGGAGAAAGUCUUGUUCUGAGGAAGAACAAUCCCCUAUUAAGCACGCUUCUCUUGUUUCCUGAGCUGAGGGCCAUUCUAACAAGUUCCAGAGGACCACCCAAUAGGCCACUGUCCCACCGGAGAGUGCUUGCAUGCUGUACUGAGAGCCACCAUUUGAAUCCAGAAGCGGAGUCUCCUCCUGGACUGUAAACCAUCAACACUCAGAUUCUUAGCAGGAAUGGAAGGUCGCAGAGAAAAUGCUCUGCUUAGUCCCCUUUCUCAGUGGGAGACAGGGGAGCUUCCUCCUGGAAGCCCCAGGAGUCUGAACAGCAUCUCCAUCACCUUUCUGAGCAGUAACUUGUCCAAGCAUCUUCAAGAAGACACACACCUAGGCUGUUUCCUACUCUGAGUCACUAUCCCAUAUAGCAGAACCUGCAAGGAUGAGCCUUUCUGUGCAGGAACAGGGUCUCUAAAAUGGGUAACACACAACAGAACUACCUCGGGACUGGCCAAUUAGUGGAGCCACUACAUAGGAUUUGUGUCUGACUGGUGUCAUGGCCUUUAAUGGGUAACUCGGCAGGAGAGGACCUAUUUCCUGUCUUUCCAGUGUGGAGAUGAGACAAUAGGACUGGACAACCGUGUUAUAUAUUUAGUGGUAGGUCCCCGUGUGCUCUUUAUAUGAAAGAAUGUCAGGGGCCCCUUUGGAGAGAGAAACAAAGGGCCUUCUCCUAAGGGGGCUCCUUCCUAAUUCAGAGUCCAAGGGGGAAGAUCUUCUGUUGAGAAAAGGACUUGGUCUUUCUCAAGUCACAGCAAAGGCGUCACCCUGAUUCUUGUCAUUCUUUCUUGCUCUGGUUUUGAGUCUCAGGCUGAACCUGAGGGCUCAGAACCCCCUCCCCCUCUUUCCUGGUGGAAUUCUGUGCUGCAGACCGAGAGUAUUGACUUGCCCUGGGGCAGCUGAGUUGAGUUACAGACACUAAAGCAAGGCGACAAAUGAGGAAAUACAUUUUCUUUAUUUAACUCAGUGAGAAGAAACCCUUAUUAGACCCUAAAAAGACAAAAUGAGCAAAUAUGAGAUUAAUACAGAGGAAGGAGGGGUAUGAUUUCUGCUUUAUGUGUUGAUAAGCCCCUCCCCCCUUUCAUACUAAUUAUUAUUACCAUUAUUAGUAUUCUUUUACCCCUCAAUUGCCUUCGGAUGUUAUCCAAAGGGAAGAACUCUGUCGUCUGGGGAGAGCUCCACGGUAUUGUUUAUUUCAUGUAAUAAAAUGUAUGUAAUGAUCAUGA